rnacentral:rRNA from 1 species
UACGACUACAUAUCAGGCAUAUCAAUAAGCGGAGGAAAAGAAACUAACAAGGAUUCCCUUAGUAACGGCGAGUGAAGCGGGAAGAGCUCAAAUUUGAAAUCUUCAAGGUUUUACCUUGACGAAUUGUAGUUUAAAGAAGUGUUUUCUGUUGAAGUUUCGGUAAAAGUUCUUUGGAAUAGGACAUCAUAGAGGGUGAGAAUCCCGUAUUUGACCAUUUCUUCCAGCUGUGUGAUACACUUUCAAAGAGUCGGAUUGUUUGGGAAUGCAGUCCAAAAUGGGUGGUAAAUUUCAUCUAAAGCUAAAUAUUGGCGAGAGACCGAUAGCGAACAAGUACCGUGAGGGAAAGAUGAAAAGAGCUUUGAAAAGAGAGUUAAACAGUACGUGAAAUUGUCAAAAGGGAAGCGUUUGACACCAGUGUUGUUUUCUCGAAAAUCAAUUAAAAAUGACCGGAUUUUGUGUUGUAUUGACUUUAUCAGCUUUCUGCACUUUUUUCUUGUCUUUUUUAAUGCACUUUUCGUUUAACAAGUCAACAUCAAUUUCUUUUGUUGUAAAAAGGGUCAUUGGAAGGUGGCUUUCACUUUCGGUGAAAGUGUUUAUAGCCUUUGACUUCUGCAAUCGGAGAGAUUGAGGUCUGCAGCGUAGAUCCUUCGGGGUUAGAUACAUUUGUGCUAAGUUAUAGCCUUUUAUAGACAACUCGUUGACUAUGCUCAGUCAUGUAGCUUACUCGCUUGUAGUAAUUUUACCUACGCUUAGGAUGUUGACGCGCGUGUGUGCGUG